UACGGAGGGUGCAAGCGUUAUCCGGAUUCACUGGGUUUAAAGGGUGCGUAGGUGGGUUGGUAAGUCAGUGGGGAAAUCUCCAGGCUUAACUUGGAAACUGCCAUUGAUACUAUCAAUCUUGAAUACCGUGGAGGUCAGCGGAAUAUGUCAUGUAGCGGUGAAAUGCUUAGAUAUGACAUAGAACACCAAUUGCGAAGGCAGCUGGCUACACGAAUAUUGACACUGAUGCACGAAAGCGUGGGGAUCAAACAGG
rnacentral:rRNA from 1 species